AUGCUGCCCCCGGCCGCCCGCCUCGCGGCCCGCCGCCUCCUCGGCCUCGCCUCCGCCUCCGCCUCACAGUCGGCCGCCCGACGCCUCUCCCCGUCUCCGUUGCAGAUCUCCUCCCCCGCGGCCGCGGCCGCCACGGGUUACUUCUCCCGGACCUUCUCUUCCGCGCUUAACUACCACAUCGAUUCGCCGGACAACAACCCGAACAUGCCGUGGGAGUUCACCAAGGCCAACAUGGAGAAGGUUAACGAAAUCCUAUCUCAUUACCCAAGCAACUACAAGCAAUCUGGUAUUAUUCCAAUGCUUGAUCUUGCACAGCAGCAGCAUGGUGGAUGGGUCCCGGUUGCAGCAAUGGACGCUAUUGCUAAAAUAGUUGGAGUUGCACCGAUCAGGGUCUAUGAAGUUGCAACAUUUUACUCAAUGUUCAAUCGGACCAAGGUGGGAAAAUACCACCUUUUGGUGUGUGGAACUACACCUUGUAUGAUUCGUGGUUCGCGUGAUAUCGAAGAUGCCCUGUUAAAACACCUUGGAGUUAAACGGAACGAGGUGACAAGCGAUGGUUUAUUUUCUGUUGGGGAAAUGGAAUGCAUGGGUUGCUGUGUGAACGCUCCCAUGAUUGCUGUGGCUGACUAUACCAAAGGUUCAGAUGGUUACACAUACAAUUAUUAUGAAGACCUCACUCCCAAGCGAGUCGUUGAGCUUGUUGAAAUGCUGAGAAGAGGGGAAACGCCCCCUCGUGGCACCCAGAACCCAGAGCGGAAAAACUGUGGUCCUGCUGGAGGGAUGACCACCUUGCUAGGCGAGCCAAAGCCUCCCCCAUGCAGGGACCUAGAUGCCUGCUAG
rnacentral:rRNA from 1 species